rnacentral:sRNA from 1 species
GCUGGGCAUGGUGGGGCAUGCCCGUAAUCCCAGUGACUUGGGAGGCUGAGGCAGGAGGAUCUCAAGUUUUAGGCCAGCCUGGGAAACUUAGCAAGACUCUGCCUCAC